AUUGAACGCUGGCGGCAGGCCUAACACAUGCAAGUCGAACGGUAACAGGAAGAAGCUUGCUUCUUUGCUGACGAGUGGCGGACGGGUGAGUAAUGUCUGGGAAACUGCCUGAUGGAGGGGGAUAACUACUGGAAACGGUAGCUAAUACCGCAUAACGUCGCAAGCCCAAAGAGGGGGACCUUCGGGCCUCUUGCCAUCGGAUGUGCCCAGAUGGGAUGAGCUAGUAGGUGGGGUAACGGCUCACCUAGGCGACGAUCCCUAGCUGGUCUGAGAGGAUGACCAGCCACACGGGAACUGAGCCACGGUCCAGACUCCUACGGGAGGCAGCAGUGGGGAAUAUUGCACAAUGGGCGCAAGCCUGAUGCAGCCAUGCCGCGUGUAUGAAGAAGGCCUUCGGGUUGUAAAGUACUUUCAGCGGGGAGGAAGGGAGUAAAGUUAAUACCUUUGCUCAUUGACGUUACCCGCAGAAGAAGCACCGGCUAACUCCGUG
rnacentral:rRNA from 1 species